GAUGAACGCUAGCGGCAGGCCUAAUGCAUGCAAGUCGGACGGGAUCGGGGAGCUUGCUCCCCGUGAGAGUGGCGCACGGGUGCGUAACACGUAUGUAACCUACCUUUAUCAGGGGGAUAGCUUCUCGAAAGAGAGAGUAACACCGCAUAAGAUCACAUGAUCGCCUUAUCGAGUGAUCAAAUAUUCAUAGGAGAAAGAUGGGCAUGCGGGCCAUUAGCUAGUUGGCGGGGUAACGGCCCACCAAGGCGACGAUGUCUAGGUGAUCCGAGAGGAUGACCCCCCACACUGGUACUGAGACACGGACCAGACUCCUACGGGAGGCAGCAGUAAGGAAUAUUGGUCAAUGGACGCAAGUCUGAACCAGCCAUGCCGCGUGCAGGAGGACGGCCCUACGGGUUGUAAACUGCUUUUGUACCGGAAUAAACCCUUUUACGUGUAAGAGGCUGAAUGUACGGUAAGAAUAAGGAUCGGCUAACUCCGUGCCAGCCGCCGCCGUAACAC
rnacentral:rRNA from 1 species